UGCAGUUUUUGCUACUUUUUGAAGGAAUGUGCAUGCAGCCCUAUGGAGCAAAUAGGAAAACAGCUGCAAUCAAGCACAGAGGAACAAAAUACAGGCAAAUAUCACACAGCCAUGACACCAUUCUACAUCUGUUGAAGCCAUUUUAGUUUAAGUGGGAAUUUACCUGCUGGGUUUUGGUUAUGGGUGUGGCUAGUAAUUAUAUAAGGCAGGAGGCACAGGUGUGUGUAAAUACAUUCUUUUGUUUUGGGUUAGUUGGAGCAUCACAUGACCAAUUUUGAGCCUGUUUUUGAGUGGUUUUCAGUGGAAGAAAAUGGAAAAACUCUCAUGGAAUAAACUGAGAUUGAACUACAGACCUUCAAACCAAAAAGGAAGUGCUCUCACCAUCAAGGGACAGCCAGUCAUGCUGAGAAGACGGCAGGGCAGGAAGAUCACGGGCCUUGUAUUCAAACACCACAGAAGAAGAGAUAACCUCACCACCCAUAGCCACCUGCAGCAUCACCAGACCUGUAUCAUGGGCUGCAAACAGAAAAGCAGUUUUUCCCUGACCUCACCCGCUGGAGCAGGAUGUGACUCAUGUUGUGUACUCUCCCAAAACCACAUUUCUAAGCCUAACUGUUCAGUGUGUUCCUGCCAUGCAGCGUCCCUCCUCACAAUGCUAUUUUUCAUAGUUCUUAUUAUCUUGAGUGAAACGCUAACAUCUACUGAUAAGGAUGUGCAGAUAUUAGACUCUUCUGCGCUAUGGAGAAAAACAGUUUGAUAGAAUCCGUUUAUUAUAGGGAUGAGCAGGGAGAUAGUGGAGAAAGUUUGAAAUAUUAAAUUAAAGGAAAGUGUUUUUCUGUGUUAGGUGAAGGAUGUGUGUUCUGUAAGAGUGUGUGUGUGUGUUACCUGGGCAGUAGCAGCGCAGCACCCCAGGCUGGAUGAGAGCAGCAGGGACACUGAUGUGGUCAAACAGACAGCUGUACUCACUGCUCGAUUCCAACCAUGGCCCUGUGAUCAGCACCUUUACUCCACCCUGCAGCACAAACAGAGGCUUCAGUCAUAUAUCAAACAUUGUGGCUCCUUUGUCCUCAAGAAAACUACUUCUGAGCAUAGGUUAAUAUAAAUAGAAACCAAAAACGAAUGUGAGUCUGCGAGUAUAAUAUCUCUAAGAUAACAAUCCAUGUUAGUCAGUGGUUCUAAUAGAGCGUGAGUUUGUACACAACACCUUAGAGACACAGGGGCCUAAAUUGCUGUUUCCAAAGUAUAUAAAUCUUAACUGAUAGAUGGUACAACUUGCCUCUUUAGAAAGUGUGUAUUAUUUUGUUAAUGAGAAAAUGUGAGUCCAGGCGGCCUGGUAGAAGCCCCUAGAGACUGUAUUACUCCUUACAUCCAAGUAGAACAAAGCUGCUCGAACCAUCUGAACAACACUGGCAUAUGUUUUCUCUAGUUGAGCUAAAAAUAAAACAUAAACAACAUGUUGUUCUCUCAAAAUGUUGGAACCAUGAAGUAUGGAGUACACAACAAUGAAAACUUUGAUAUAAAAAGGCAUCAUUUGGCUGAGGUUUCUAUUUGGCAUUUGUAGUGCUUCUUUAAGGUUAUUUUGAGUAUAAUGACAUCAUACUUUAAGCCUUUGGGGCAAAGCAGUGAUGUGAUGGUUUUUUUAAGAAACCCAAAACUGAGAUGAUCAGGAUGAUGAUCUCAGUGAUGAUUCUGGAAGAAAGUUGCAGAAAAAUAUCAGCUGAUUAUGCGCACCUUCAGAAGGUGGGUACUUAAUGUGUAGCUGUUGUAUGCGUCUGCUAUAUGUCUAUUGUCUAUUUGUAACUCUGUGACUGUGCUGCUGUCUAUCUUG